AGCGAACGCUGGCGGCAGGCCUAACACAUGCAAGUCGAACGAACCUUUCGGGGUUAGUGGCGGACGGGUGAGUAACACGUGGGAACGUGCCUUUAGGUUCGGAAUAACUCAGGGAAACUUGUGCUAAUACCGAAUGUGCCCUUCGGGGGAAAGAUUAAUCGCCUUUAGAGCGGCCCGCGUCUGAUUAGCUAGUUGGUUGAGGUAAUGGCUCACCAAGGCGACGAUCAGUAGCUGGUCUGAGAGGAUGAUCAGCCACAUUGGGACUGAGACACGGACCAAACUCCUACGGGAGGGAGCAGUGGGGAAUCUUGCGCAAUGGGCGAAAGCCUGACGCAGCCAUGCCGCGUGAAUGAUGCAGGUGUUAGGAUUGUAAAAUUCUUUCACCGGGGACGAUAAUGACGGUACCCGGAGAAGAAGCCCCGGCUAACUUCGUG
rnacentral:rRNA from 1 species